rnacentral:rRNA from 1 species
CCUACGGGAGGCAGCAGUGAGGAAUAUUGGUCAAUGGUCGGGAGACUGAACCAGCCAAGCCGCGUGAGGGAGGAAGGUACAGAGUAUCGUAAACCUCUUUUGUCAGGGAACAAAGGCGGGGACGUGUCCCCGGAUGAGUGUACCUGAAGAAAAAGCAUCGGCUAACUCCGUGCCAGCAGCCGCGGUAAUACGGAGGAUGCGAGCGUUAUCCGGAUUUAUUGGGGUUAAAGGGCGCGCAGGCGGUCUGUUAAGGCAGCGGUCAAAGCCCGGGGCUCAACCCUGGGACUGCUUUGGAAACUGUGGAG